UCCCUGCUGGCGCAAUGGUAGCGCGCAAGACUUCUAUAAUCGAUCUCGAAAUCAUUCGAAUCCUCUAUGGCACAUCUUGAGGCUGCAGGUUCGAGCCCUGCGUGGGGAG